ACAUUCCAACUUCAUUUUGGAGUGACCAUUCCUAAAAGCAAAAAGACAGCAGUGACUCCGGAUCACUUUUUCUGCUGAGAUCAACUGCCUGCUACAAUGAUGAAUGUUUCUUUACUUUGGACUAAGCUGAAAUUCCUGGCUCCUUUCUUGUUUCCAAAAAGCAUGAAGGUUCCUUUACCCUCUUCCCUGGCAUGCAAUUUAGAAUUGGGCUCUCAGUCUUCAAGGACUUUGUGUUCCAGUGACACACUUCAUGAAGAAAGUGGAAGUAAGGAAAAAAAAAAAAAAAGUAACCGAGAAAGGUGCUCAGAGUCUCAAACAACAUUCCUAUGUAAGCCACUCCAAUUUUCUCAAACUUCUCCCGUCGUAAUCCUGAAGAAAGUCAUCUUUCUUUAUUCCAACCAUUGGCAUCAAUUUUUCUUUCUCCAUAGCCAGCAGUCAGAGCCACUGAGCUGAAAAAAUGCCUGUUCUCUCUCAGUAAUGCCUUCCAUCGAAGCCGAUGGUGUCCUGUCAGCAGCUUAUCCAGACAGAACCACCGGCGCCAUCUUCAUUAGGGGAAAAGCUAAUAUAAACAAAUAAGGUGUUAGUGUAGAUAGCAGACUGAGAGCAUUACUGAAAAAUGCUUUGCGGCAGUUGCUGUGCCUUUAGUUUUAAAAAUAUAUAAAUGUUAUAUGAAUCCCAAAUCCUCUUCUAUUUACAUAAAAUAUUUAUACAUCGAGCAAGACAAUUUCACAACUUUAUAAUGUAUUUUCCUGUUAGAUUAAUCUUUUCAUAUGGUAACCACAUUACAAGUAAACAUUUUCCUAGUCUCCACUACAUGAAUGUGGCUAAAAGCUUCCUUGUUAUUUUAUAGUUACAGCAUUUCAAAUGUAUCCCUUUUUGACGUGGUUAGGCAGCCUGCCAGUUUUACCACUAAAUUAUAGCAGAGAAAACACUCUGUAGAAUUUGAUUAGAUUUUUUUCCUUCUCCCCAUGAGUAAGGCAAAGCAAAUUUAUGUUCAAAAUGCAAGCUGGGUUCUAGAGAAUUGAAUAUAGAUCCAUACUUGUAGUGUUAAAAAUGCAUGCGAGUUUAGUAGUUGAAAAUACACCUUGUUUGUAGUGCUGCUUUAUAUUAUUGUUGCUUUUUGUUCUGUUUUGUCACUGACAUCUGUGGAAUGAUUGAAAAGCACUCGACCAUAUUGAAGUCAGGGUUGGUAUUUCAGUGAUGAAGAUGUCUUAGUCUCUUCUAUUAAUAAACAACUAUGUUAGUAAUGUGCUUAGACUAGA
rnacentral:lncRNA from 1 species